rnacentral:lncRNA from 1 species
GAAAAAAUUUCAUAAUUUUUGGAUGAAAUUUGAAUUAAAAAUGAAUUAUUGAAGUUGGAUGAAUAUUUGAACAAAGCAUAGACAAAUGACAUGAACUAGUGGUCAAACAAGGAAGUCAGCAUGGCAAUUGUGUAAUUUUGGACUCACUAAUCUAAACUCUGCGUUUUGGCAAGGCAAAACGAAAUGUUCUGAUUGGCUCCCAGCCAAUAGAACAGUACAUGCGCCAAUGGAACCUCAUAUUUUCUGAGUUUCUAAAACCCUAGGGUUUAAGCAUG